GUGCCAGCAGCCGCGGUAAUACGAAGGUUGCUAGCGUUGUUCGGAAUCACUGGGCUUAAAGCGCAUGUAGGCGGCUCAUCAAGUGCCUUGUGAAAUCCCACGGCUCAACCGUGGAAUUGCUGGGUAUACUGUUCGAGCUUGAGGCAGGUAGGGGCGCGUGGAACUCUUGGUGGAGCGGUGGAAUGCGUAGAUAUCAAGAGGAACGCCGGUGGCGAAAGCGGCGCGCUGGGCCUGUCCUGACGCUGAGAUGCGAAAGCCAGGGGAGCAAACGGGAUUAGAAACCCUAGUAGUCC
rnacentral:rRNA from 1 species